GAUUUCUGGUACGGCGCAUUUGGCCCGCUUCGGUUACGGAGUUGAGUGCCGUUUUGCGCCUGCCAUCCUUCUAGAGUACGACUCUCCCUUCACUGGGUUGGGCCGGAAUCUAGAUCAUUUACUUUGAAAAAAUUAGAGUGUUUAAAGCAGGCUUACGCUAUGAAUACAUUAGCAUGGAAUAAUAAUUUAGGACUUUGGUCUUAUUUUGUUGGUUUCUAGGACUAAAGUAAUGAUUGAUAGGGAUAGUUGGGGGUGCUAGUAUUCAGCGGCCAGAGGUGAAAUUCUUGGAUUCGCUGAAGACUAACUUAUGCGAAAGCAUU
rnacentral:rRNA from 1 species